rnacentral:rRNA from 1 species
GAUGAACGCUGGCGGCGUGCCUAAUACAUGCAAGUCGAGCGAACGGACGAGAAGCUUGCUUUUCUGAUGUUAGCGGCGGACGGGUGAGUAACACGUGGAUAACCUACCUAUAAGACUGGGAUAACUUCGGGAAACCGGAGCUAAUACCGGAUAAUAUUUUGAACCGCAUGGUUCAAAAGUGAAAGACGGUAUUGCUGUCACUUAUAGAUGGAUCCGCGCUGCAUUAGCUAGUUGGUAAGGUAACGGCUUACCAAGGCAACGAUGCAUAGCCGACCUGAGAGGGUGAUCGGCCACACUGGGACUGAGACACGGUCCAGACUCCUACGGGAGGCAGCAGUAGGGAAUCUUCCGCAAUGGGCGAAAGCCUGACGGAGCAACGCCGCGUGAGUGAUGAAGGUCUUCGGAUCGUAAAACUCUGUUAUUAGGGAAGAACAUAUGUGUAAGUAACUGUGCACAUCUUGACGGUACCUAAUCAGAAAGCCACGGCUAACUACGUG